CAGCAGCCGCGGUAAUACGGAGGGGGCUAGCGUUGUUCGGAAUUACUGGGCGUAAAGCGCACGUAGGCUGCUUUGUAAGUCAGAGGUGAAAGCCCGGGGCUCAACCCCGGAUGUGCCUUUGAGACUGCAGGGCUAGAACGUCGGAGAGGUGAGUGGAAUUCCGAGUGUAGAGGUGAAAUUCGUAGAUAUUCGGAAGAACACCAGUGGCGAAGGCGGCUCACUGGACGACUGUUGACGCUGAGGUGCGAAAGCGUGGGGAGCAAACAGGAUUAGAUACCCCCGUAGUCCCUGUCUCUUAUAC
rnacentral:rRNA from 1 species